UACUUCGUCGUGGGUUUGGUUUCUGGUGUGGUGCAUCCAGAUCAAUCUUUCUUCCUUCCUCUCUGUUGAGCGGUGUAGUCUAGUCCCCAAAAUCGCCGCCCUCCUCGGCUUGCCGUCUUGCCGCCGCGUGCAUCGAGCGGGAGCUCGGCGCCAGGGCCGCCCAGACCUCGAUCAAGCGCAGGGCCGAGGUGAUAUGUGGUGCUGUUUUUAGAGUAAAUGCACCCAUGGUACCUGAACUCAUCCAUGCUUGUUGUUUAGGAACACAAUGUGGCAAAUCAAAGAUUAGUCUCCCUGACUCUUCUGCUGGAAUCACCUGCAAAAAAAAAAGACUAUUCUGCUGGAAUCAUAUACGGUCCCAAUCCUACGAUUGUACCAUAUGCGUCCAACAGGACACCAGUGCAGGCAGAUCCUAUUCCUGAAUCCUUAUUUAUCCAGUCCAAUAUACCAUCUGGGAGACCAGAGGAGGUCACUAAUGCUAGCAGGGAGUGGGCAGAGAAAAUGAGCAACAGAGCAAAAGAAACUGGAGCAGAGAAGAAGGCUAGGAGUGCCGCUGCCAAAGCUGAUGCUAACGGCCAAAAAAAUACAGAUGCUGAAGCGAAGAAUUGGCAGCACCUGAAGCUAAAGAAAAGAAAAUUACAGCAGCUGAAGCAAAGAAAAUAGUUGUAGCUGAAGCUAAAGCGAAGAAAUUAGCAGAGGAUGAAGCUAAGCAAGCAAAGACCCUAGAGGCUAUUAGAGCACAAAGGGAGAAAGAUUUAAAGAAGCUGAAACAAAAUUCAGACGACGAAUGUAUAAACUUCAGAAAGAGGAUGAGGCUAGAGCAUUAAAGAAAGGAAGUUCUAAUUCGAACGAAAUGUUGAACUGAGAUAGUUUUCAGUUAAAACUGAGUGUGCUUGUCUUUUUGAAGUGUCAAUUUUCGGAAGAAAUCCUUCCUAGGCACUAGAUUUCAUGGUCAGCGACGCAAGAAGGCACAAGAUGAGAUUGAUACUCUCGCUGUCCAAAAAUUUGGAAGACUAUGGAGUGAAGGCACAAUAUGCAAGGUGGACCAAUGAGGUCGGCCUAGAUCUUAAUUCUGACGACGAUCCUUUUCUGAUCCAACGAUUCAGAGCUACUGCAAGGCCUUUAUUGAGGCACGAAGUAUUCAAGAGAUCAACCACUCUGGCAACUAGUUUCGUUCCAAUAUUUUUGGCUUCCCUAUCUGUUGUUUGGUAGUGAUUUUGCAACAAUACAACAACUAUUCCCUGAUAAGACCUAAGAUCAGGUGAGGCAAAAAUUUAAAACCGAGGAGAAAUGGCAUCUAAUGUAAGUUCACGAUGCUAGGCUCCAGAGAUAAGAAGUUGCUCCAUAAGUGGUCCAGCCCCAUAUUCUGAUUUGUGAUUUUGCUCGGUUCAAUGCUUCUGUUUUACAAACUGUAUGCAGAUAAUUUGUAUUUAAAACAAGUAAUAAAAAAAAAUCUCAACAUCAAAGAUUUGCCGAUAGACGUCAACAGUACACGUAAAACAAGAGCUGCAUCCAAUGGAGGAAACUCUGGAAAUGAGAAUGUGCUGGAAGAUAGCAUCAACCACGUCGAAGAGAAUGGUUUGAAUUGUUGGAGUAAAGCGCAAGCAGGGCACAGACGGAUCAGAUGUCAAGGAAGUGGGGGACCCUGUUUCUGUAAAUGGUGACGAUGACCUUGAUGUAUUUGAUUGGUACUGGCAUGAUAAUCAAUCGUGGUAAAAAUGA